AGCUCCAGUAGCGUAUAUUAAAGUUGUUGCAGUUAAAAAGCUCGUAGUUGGAUUUCUGGUUUGACGCGUUUGGCCCUCCCGGGUUUCCACUCGGUGUGUGUGCCGAUGCGCGUCUGCCAUCCUUGUAGAGAACGUUUCUACCCUUCACUGGGCCGGAUUCGCGAUCUGCAUCUUUUACUUUGAAAAAAUUAGAGUGUUUAAAGCAGGCUUGUGCUAUGAAUACAUUAGCAUGGAAUAAUAAUUUAGGACUUUCUAUUU
rnacentral:rRNA from 1 species